GUCCAUGCCGUAAACGAUGUCAACUAGCCGUUGGGGACCUUGAGUCCUUAGUGGCGCAGCUAACGCGAUAAGUUGACCGCCUGGGGAGUACGGUCGCAAGACUAAAACUCAAAUGAAUUGACGGGGGCCCGCACAAGCGGUGGAGCAUGUGGUUUAAUUCGAUGCAACGCGAAGAACCUUACCUGGUCUUGACAUAGUAAGAACUUUCCAGAGAUGGAUUGGUGCCUUCGGGAGCUUACAUACAGGUGCUGCAUGGCUGUCGU
rnacentral:rRNA from 1 species